rnacentral:tRNA from 1 species
GGCUCAGAUGGUAAAGAAUCUGCCUGCGAUGCAGGAGAUCCAGGUUCGAUCCCUGGGCCA